rnacentral:rRNA from 1 species
UACAGAGGGGGCAAGCGUUAUUCGGAAUUAUUGGGCGUAAAGAGCUCGUAGGCGGUUCGGCAAGUCGGAUGUGAAAUCUCCACGCUUAACGUGGAGGGGCCAUUCGAAACUGCUGUGACUCGAGUCCGGUAGGGGAGUGUGGAAUUCCCGGUGUAGCGGUGAAAUGCGCAGAUAUCGGGAGGAGCACCAGUAGCGAAGGCGGCACUCUGGGUCGGUACUGACGCUGAGGAGCGAAAGCGUGGGGAGCGAACAGG